GCAACAACCAUCUUCGUUUUAAUCAGGAAGAGCUUCUCUCAAAUUAUUAAUUAUCAUACUAAAAAUGGAGGCCACUCUUAGCAGCUUUCGCAGUUGCUCUCAGGCUCAGCUCCCCUUACAACCCACCUCUUUCCCUCCUCAAUUCUUCAAAAAGUCCCAAUUCUUGAGACUACAGAAAUCAAAGCCUUCGAACUCAGCACAGUGUUAUCCACGUUUGGUGAUUGCGAAGGCGUUGGGGACGGGCGAUAAUGGUGUCUUUGAAGAUUUUACAGCUACACCUAACAAGAUUUUUAUGGAAGAGGCAAUUGGUGCCGAAUACGGAGAAGGUUUCGAGACAUUUAGACCCAAUGGACUGCUCAAAGUUGAUGUGGAUUUUUUAAAUGAUAGACUGCAAGAGGGUUUCUUGCGAAGAAUCCGUUAUGCGAUGAAGCCUGAUGAAGCUUAUGGCCUCAUUUUCUCUUGGGAUAAUGUGGUGGCAGAUUCUCGAGCUCUGAAGUUGGAUGCCUGGAAUCAACUUGCCUCUGAAGAAGGAUUAGAGCUUCCUGAAGACGAUAGUGUGCAGCGGCUGUUACUUAAUGCAACUGCUGAUCAUGUUCUGCAUAAGGCGCUGCCAAAGGAGAAGAAUGAAGCUGAUCAGGAUCGAUUGAAGAUGAGGCUUUCCCAACUCUAUAAUGACAAGCUUCUGAAAAUUUCAGAGCCAAUUGAAGGGUUGAAAGAAUGGCUGGAUGCCGUAUCAACUGCUCGUAUCCCUUGUGCUGUUGUGUCAAGUUUUGAUCGCAGAAAUAUGGUUGAAGCCUUAGAGCGCAUGGGACUCAUGAAGUACUUCCAGGCAAUUGUGACAGAGGAGGAUGGAAUGGAGUCUAUAGCACAUAGAUUUCUUUCUGCAGCUGUGAAGCUGGACAGAAAGCCAUCAAAGUGUGUGGUGUUUGAGGACGACCCUAGGGGCAUAACUGCUGCUCACAACUGUACAAUGAUGGCUGUGGCACUUAUUGGUGCUCACCCAGCGUACGAUUUAGGGCAAGCUGACCUUGCUGUAGGUUGCUUCAGUGAGCUUUCUGUGAUAAAUCUCAGGAGAUUAUUUGCACAUAAAGGCUCCAACUUUAUGGACCUAGAGAAACAAAUAGCAGAAAAAGCACCACGCAGAAGGAAGCUCACAAUUGACACCAUUUUCUGAACCAGUUUGGUACAACAGUCUACCACCUCAUUUUCCUACUUGUAAAUGCUCUCUUAGUGUUAGAAUCUGUAGGUCUUGCCGUCCCUUGCCUUCAUUCAUUCUUUAGAUAAAUAGAGCUGGUAGAAGAUGAUUUCCCUUGAGGUAAUCUGAAACUCAGAAAUCCUUUUCUUGUCUUCUUUUCUCUCUUUUUUCUUUUGGGGUUUCUGUUUGUUCGUGUGAUCAAGCCGUUAUUCAAACUGAUAUCUACCAGCAGUGGUGGUGGAAUUAUGAUCCAUGUCACAACUAAUAGUUGCUUUUAGGUGCAUGCAAUAUUGUAACUUGUGU